UUAUUAUUAUUAUUAUUAUUAUUAUUGUUAUUUUUAUAUGCGUGUUUUAUCUUUCAAGCACCAAGUUACGCAAAUGUAUGAUGCAUAAUGCCAAGACGUUUUGAGGUUAUGGACGAUGUAGAAAAUCAACUAAACUCACCCUACGUUGUGACAGUAGUUUUCACGGAUGAUGCAGAGCAAAAGAAUAUCGCCAUGGUAAAACAAUUAAAAGAGAACUUGAUAAAUUUGCUAUAUGUAUGGUUAUGUAUAGUAAAUACAAUUGUAUAAGCAAUAUUUUUAAUCAAAGUCAAAAAGUGAAUGAUAUCAAAGGAUUGUUGCUUUUGUGUUAUUUUCACAAAUGGAUAUUAACUGUACAUAAUAAUUCUGCUUCAAUUACUGAGACCGUUGAUGCAUACGAAAAAUAAUGGAUAAGAUAUUAGACGAAAGCCAAUAUAAAGGUUUUAAUUUUUGAAAAGGUAUAAUAAAAGAGAACUACAUUUGUAGGUAUUUAAAAAUGCAUGAUUCCAUUUUAAAAAAUUACCAUGACCAUUGCAUAUUCUACGUACUACCAUCUAAUAAAAAAUCAAACAACUUGUACAUCAAACAUUUCUUCAUAUCAUCAAAAUUGUAAAACUUAUAUAGGUGACCAAUUUAAAAUGAAUCAUUAAAAUCACAAAUUUUUAAGAUUGCAGGGAUAUUAAUCAGAUUUGGUCUGUUAUUAAUUACUUCUUAAUUAUUUCAUAUUAUUAU